GAGGUGCGGCUAACAAUCAAAGUCAUCAAUUGAGAUUGGGCGAUGAAAAUAUUAUUUGGAAGAAAUCGGAAUAACUACCAUCUUUGAUGGAUCGUUUGGAAGGUAAAGACAUAUAUAUUUUGUAUGGAGUAGAAAUGAGGGAAUUUGUUUUAUAUCUUUCGAUUACUUGGAAAAUUCAAUAUUAAUCAAUGAUCGAAAUUAUUCAAUAAUUAACGUUACUUUGUAGGAAUGCAUGUGAAAUAACAACACCUGAAAGUAAAUUGAUAAACAACAACAUCAUAUGAACUUACCUGUUUCCCGAUGUUACCUGUCCGAGCUACUGACCGACAGACGGAGGUGUAAAACCGGUUACACGGGUAUUUACGUGCGCGCAGCAUGUGUUGACAUUUCACUUCUCUCGUGCCGUUCAUAUGCUGCAGCUGCUGAAGGAUUACAGUAGACUGACAAAUGGACAACAAAAUAGAAACAAACAGGCGCAUGGGCCAUACAUAACAGUGAUUUGACUCUUAAGACCCUUGUACUAUGGUUACAAGUAGUGCUGGCCGUGGCAGCCAUAGAUUUCUGACCAACUCAGAAAAUAAUACUCGGUCAGUACCAUCUCAGGACCAUAUCAGCAUGGUGGAGAUACACAUGGUUGAAGUUGGUGAUAAUCACAAACUGAAAAUGGUGGCCACCAGUACAGAAAGCAUCAAAGGCGAUAAGACAAUAAAAAUACUCAUUAUAUACACUUUUUAUAAUAAUAAGCAUAUGCUGUACUGAAAUCUGAACUUGUUCUGGAACAAUCCUCAGUUUUCUUCAACACUCUGACAAAAGUUUUGAAUUGGAGUAAUUCUCUACAAACAGAAGGUGGUGUAUUUCAUGCAUAAUUGCUAUUUCAUCGUUUUCUA